UACAGAGGGGGCAAGCGUUGUUCGGAAUUACUGGGCGUAAAGGGCGCGUAGGCGGCCCGCUAAGUCGAACGUGAAAUCCCCGAGCUCAACUCGGGAACUGCGUCCGAUACUGGUGGGCUUGAAUCCGGGAGAGGGGAUGCGGAAUUCCAGGUGUAGCGGUGAAAUGCGUAGAUAUCUGGAGGAACACCGGUGGCGAAGGCGGCAUCCUGGACCGGCAUUGACGCUGAGGCGCGAAAGCUAGGGGAGCAAACGGGG
rnacentral:rRNA from 1 species